CUGCUAAUACCGCAUAAUGUCUUCGGACCAAACGGGGCUUAGGCUCCGGCGCAAAGAGAGGCCCAAGUGAGAUUAGCUAGUUGGUAAGGUAACGGCUUACCAAGGCGACGAUCUCUAGCUGUUCUGAGAGGAAGAUCAGCCACACUGGGACUGAGACACGGCCCAGACUCCUACGGGAGGCAGCAGUGGGGAAUAUUGCACAAUGGGGGAAACCCUGAUGCAGCCAUGCCGCGUGUGUGAAGAAGGCCUUCGGGUUGUAAAGCACUUUCAGUUGUGAGGAAAAGUUAGUAGUUAAUACCUGCUAGCCGUGACGUUAACAACAGAAGAAGCACCGGCUAACUCCGUGCCAGCAGCCGCGGUAAUACGGAGGGUGCGAGCGUUAAUCGGAAUUACUGGGCGUAAAGCGCACGCAGGCGGUUUGUUAAGCUAGAUGUGAAAGCCCCGGGCUCAACCUGGGAUGGUCAUUUAGAACUGGCAGACUAGAGUCUUGGAGAGGGGAGUGGAAUUCCAGGUGUAGCGGUGAAAUGCGUAGAUAUCUGGAGGAACAUCAGUGGCGAAGGCGACUCCCUGGCCAAAGACUGACGCUCAUGUGCGAAAGUGUGGGUAGCGAACAGGAUUAGGUACCCUG
rnacentral:rRNA from 1 species